UACGUAGGGGGCUAGCGUUGUCCGGAUUUAUUGGGCGUAAAGAGCGUGUAGGCGGCCAGGUAGGUCUGGUGUGAAAACUCGAGGCUUAACCUCGAGAUGUCAUCGGAAACCAUCUGGCUAGAGUCCGGAAGAGGAGAGUGGAAUUCCUGGUGUAGCGGUGAAAUGCGCAGAUAUCAGGAAGAACACCAAUGGCGAAGGCAGCUCUCUGGGACGGUACUGACACUGAGACGCGAAAGCGUGGGGAGCGAACAGG
rnacentral:rRNA from 1 species